rnacentral:rRNA from 1 species
AUUAACGCUGGCGGCGUGCCUAACACAUGCAAGUCGAGCGAGAAAGGUCUUCGGACUGAGUAAAGCGGCGAACGGGUGAGUAACGCGUAGGAAUCUACCUUUUAGUGAAGAAUACCCUCGAGAAAUCGAGGUUAAUACUGCAUACGUCCUUCGGGAGAAAGAUGGCCUCUUUGCUGUCGCUAAAAGAUGAGCCUGCGUACUAUUAGCUAGUUGGUGGGGUAAAGGCCUACCAAGGCGAAGAUGGUUAACCGGCCUGAGAGGGUGUACGGUCACACUGGAACUUAGAUACGGUCCAGACUCCUACGGGAGGCAGCAGUGAGGAAUCUUGCGCAAUGGGCGAAAGCCUGACGCAGCGACGCCGCGUGGAGGAUGAAGGUCUUCGGAUUGUAAACUUCUGUUAAGUGGGAAGAAAAACCUUUUUUUAAUACAAAAAGGUAAUGACGGUACCAUUAAAGAAAGCACCGGCUAACUUCGU